CAGUAGCCGCGGUAAUACAGAGGGUGCAAGCGUUAAUCGGAAUUACUGGGCGUAAAGCGCGCGUAGGUUGUUUGUUAAGUUGGAUGUGAAAGCCCCGGGCUCAACCUGGGAACUGCAUCCAAAACUGGCAAGCUAGAGUACGGUAGAGGGUGGUGGAAUUUCCUGUGUAGCGGUGAAAUGCGUAGAUAUAGGAAGGAACACCAGUGGCGAAGGCGACCACCUGGACUGAUACUGACACUGAGGUGCGAAAGCGUGGGGAGCAAACAGGAUUAGAUACCCCUGUAGUCCCUGUCUCUUAUAC
rnacentral:rRNA from 1 species